CUCGUUGGGUUAGAGGCAGAGAGAUGCCACACGGAGGGGCCUCCGAGACCUCGGCGGGCACCCACCACCACGCAAUUUCCAACCCCACCAGCCUCUCAACCACUGUCCGCACCUCCGACCAACCCCACCAAAGCCUGCCCGAGCCAAGCCGUCAGCCACGACGAGGGCCCCGCGACGAUUUUAGUGUCUUGGGGUGGGUGCUCUCCGUGGGCCACCGUUUCGCGGUUUCUCUCUUAAAAUCCGUCCUGGCACGCCUUUCUCUCUAUCUCUCCAAAUUUCUCAAGUUUUUGUGGAUAUAUUUAUCAAGUUGAAAGAUUGAAAAAAAAAAAAACGUGACAGAAAGAUACGAUUAACUAUGGCGAUACAGGUUAUGUCCGUACUUUCACGUUAAUUACUCUCUUGCGAAAGUGUGAAAAGAGAGAGAGAGAAAAAAAGGAAGGAAACAGAC